UACGUAGGGGGCAAGCGUUAUCCGGAUUUACUGGGUGUAAAGGGAGCGUAGGUGGCAUAGCAAGUCAGAUGUGAAAGCCCGGGGCUUAACCUCGGGACUGCAUUUGAAACUGUUAAGCUAGAGUACAGGAGAGGCAAGUGGAAUUCCUAGUGUAGCGGUGAAAUGCGUAGAUAUUAGGAGGAACACCAGUGGCGAAGGCGGCUUGCUGGACUGUUACUGACACUGAGGCUCGAAAGCGUGGGGAGCAAACAGG
rnacentral:misc_RNA from 1 species